UUAAAAAAGAAGAAACUAGAAAAAGAAA
rnacentral:piRNA from 1 species